rnacentral:rRNA from 1 species
UACGGGGGGGGUAAGCGUUGUUCGGAAUUAUUGGGCGUAAAGAGCUCGUAGGCGGUUUGUUGCGUCGGCUGUGAAAUCCCGAGGCUCAACCUCGGGUCUGCAGUCGAUACGAGCAAACUAGAGUGUUGCAGGGGAGACUGGAAUUCCUGGUGUAGCGGUGAAAUGCGCAGAUAUCAGGAGGAACACCGGUGGCGAAGGCGGGUCUCUGGGCAACAACUGACGCUGAGGAGCGAAAGCGUGGGGAGCGAACAGG